UACGGGGGGAGCAAGCGUUGUCCGGAUUGACUGGGCGUAAAGCGCACGCAGGCGGAUGCGCGCGUGGGGUGUGAAAUCUGGCCGCUUAACGGCCAGGCGCCAUCCCAUACGGCGCGUCUGGAGUGAUGCAGAGGUCGAUGGAAUUGCCGGUGUAGUGGUGAAAUGCGUAGAGAUCGGCAGGAACACCCAGGGGGAAACCAGUCGACUGGGCAUCUACUGACGCUGAGGUGCGAGAGCGUGGGGAGCGAACCGG
rnacentral:rRNA from 1 species